GACGUAGGGCGCGAGCGUUGCCCGGAUUUAUUGGGCGUAAAGAGCUCGUAGGCGGCUUGUCGCGUCGUCCGUGAAAACCCACGGCUUAACUGUGGGCUUGCGGUCGAUACGGGCAGGCUGGAGUUCGGUAGGGGAGACUGGAAUACUUGGUGUAGCAGUGAAAUGCGUAGAUAUCAAGUGGAACACCAGUGGCGAAGGCGAGUCUCUGGACAUUUCCUGACGCUGAGGCACGAAAGCCAGGGGAGCAAACGGG
rnacentral:rRNA from 1 species